rnacentral:tRNA from 1 species
GGGCCGCUAGCUCAUCAGGCAGAGCACCACACUUUUAAUGUGGUUGCGGCAGGUUCGAGUCCUGCGCGGCUCACCA